rnacentral:rRNA from 1 species
UACAGAGGUGGCAAGCGUUGUUCGGAAUUACUGGGCGUAAAGGGCGCGUAGGUGGCCUUCUUAGUCAGACGUGAAAUCCCCGGGCUUAACUCGGGAACUGCGUCUGAUACUGGAAGGCUGGAGUUCGGGAGAGGAAUGUGGAAUUCCAGGUGUAGCGGUGAAAUGCGUAGAUAUCUGGAGGAACACCGGUGGCGAAGGCGGCAUUCUGGACCGAAACUGACGCUGAGGCGCGAAAGCCAGGGGAGCAAACGGG